rnacentral:rRNA from 1 species
ACACUCCUACGGGAGGCAGCAGUGGGGAAUUUUGGACAAUGGGCGAAAGCCUGAUCCAGCAAUGCCGCGUGCAGGAUGAAGGCCUUCGGGUUGUAAACUGCUUUUGUACGGAACGAAAAAGCUCCUUCUAAUACAGGGGGCCCAUGACGGUACCGUAAGAAUAAGCACCGGCUAACUACGUGCCAGCAGCCGCGGUAAUACGUAGGGUGCGAGCGUUAAUCGGAAUUACUGGGCGUAAAGCGUGCGCAGGCGGUUAUGUAAGACAGAUGUGAAAUCCCCGGGCUCAACCUGGGAACUGCAUUUGUGACUGCAUGGCUAGAGUACGGUAGAGGGGGAUGGAAUUCCGCGUGUAGCAGUGAAAUGCGUAGAUAUGCGGAGGAACACCGAUGGCGAAGGCAAUCCCCUGGACCUGUACUGACGCUCAUGCACGAAAGCGUGGGGAGCAAACAGGAUUAGAUACCCCGGUAGUCCCAU